GACGAACGCUGGCGGCGUGCUUAACACAUGCAAGUCGAACGGGAUUUAGUAAACAGAAGCCUCGGUGGAAGAUUACUAAUGAGAGUGGCGAACGGGUGAGUAACGCGUGAGCAACCUGCCUAUGACAGUGGGAUAGCCUCGGGAAACCGGGAUUAAUACCGCAUAAAAUCGUAGAAACACAUGUUUCAACGGUCAAAGAUUUAUCGGUCAUAGAUGGGCUCGCGUCUGAUUAGCUAGUUGGUGAGAUAACAGCCCACCAAGGCGACGAUCAGUAGCCGGUCUGAGAGGAUGAACGGCCACAUUGGAACUGAGACACGGUCCAAACUCCUACGGGAGGCAGCAGUGGGGAAUAUUGCACAAUGGGGGAAACCCUGAUGCAGCGACGCCGCGUGAACGAAGAAGGUAUUCGUAUCGUAAAGUUCUGUCCUAUGGGAAGAUAAUGACAGUACCAUAGAAGAAAGCUCCGGCUAAAUACGUGCCAGCAGCCGCGGUAAUACGUAUGGAGCGAGCGUUGUCCGGAAUUAUUGGGCGUAAAGGGUACGCAGGCGGUUUAAUAAGUCGAAUGUUAAAGAUCGGGGCUCAACCCCGUAAAGCAUUGGAAACUGAUAAACUUGAGUAGUGGAGAGGAAAGUGGAAUUCCUAGUGUAGUGGUGAAAUACGUAGAUAUUAGGAGGAAUACCAGUAGCGAAGGCGACUUUCUGGACCAAACUGACGCUGAGGUUCGAAGCGUGGGGGAUCUAACAGGAUAGAUACCCGGUGUUCUCCGGGGGAUUCCAUAGCGGCUUUCAGGCUGUCAUACCCCGAGCUCGGGGGUUGUUUGAAAGUAAUAAUAUGAGCCGUCAGGUAGGUGCAUUAAAACCCGCGUGCGCACGCUUUUUUCUUUACUGUU
rnacentral:rRNA from 1 species